UCGUCUGACUUGAACAGAGGCGAAAGACUAAUCGAACAAUCUAGCUGUUGAUUCCCUCUGAAGCUUCCCUCAAAAUAACUGGAAAACGUAAUGAAGCUGUUAUAUUCGGUAAAGCGAAUGAUUAGAGGAAUUGUGGGACGAAACGUCUUCAACCCAUUUUCAAACUUUCAAUGAGUAUGACGUCUUGCUUGCUUGAAUGAAGCAUAGACAUUGGAUGUGUGCUCCAAGUGGGCCAUUUUUGAUAAGCAGAAUUAGGGAUGAAUCAAACGUUGAAUAAAAACAUAAGUCUUCCGCUCAAGUACCAUUUCCAGGGUUAGUUAAUUUAAUUCGACUAAAAGAUGUUGUGAGUAAUUUCUGUGCUUUAUUCUUCAUAAAUGGUGGGUUAAGUUGGUAUA
rnacentral:ncRNA from 1 species